rnacentral:sRNA from 1 species
GCCGGGCGUGGUGGUGCGCACCUGUAAUCCCAGCUACUUGGGAGGCUGAGGCAGGAGAAUCGCUUGAACCCAGGAGGCGGAGGUUGCAGUGAGCCGAGAUCAUGUCACUGCACUCCAGCCUGGGCGACAGAGCGAGACUCUGUCUCAA